rnacentral:rRNA from 1 species
UACAGAGGUCCCAAGCGUUGUUCGGAUUCACUGGGCGUAAAGGGUGCGUAGGUGGUCGGGUAAGUCUGAUGUGAAAUCUCCGAGCUUAACUCGGAAACUGCAUCGGAUACUAUUUGGCUAGAGGGUUGGAGGGGGGACUGGAAUACUUGGUGUAGCAGUGAAAUGCGUAGAUAUCAGGUGGAACACCGGUGGCGAAGGCGAGUCCCUGGACAACCCCUGACGCUGAGGCACGAAAGCUAGGGGAGCAAACAGG